CCCACCUCCACGUUGACAGACACCUCGGGCAGCCAAAGAGCGCAGAGCUGGGGGGAGUGUGCGGAGGGAGAGCGGCGCUGAUCCCGCAGCCGGGGGAAGGAUGGCGCCAGAGCGCACAGAGACCUGCGGCUGCUGUGCGUCCUCACGCCGCUGGCAGCUCUCACACAGCCGAUCAAUCAACGCCUGCAACUUUUAAAGUUAGUUACGUUCAUAGCUGGAGUGACUGUAAACUGCUGACAUGUAAGUGUUGCAGCUUCCACAGAAAAAAAAGUUUGGCAAAAACACCAGAGCUGCUUUCGAUCUUUGCCUCGACGCACGAAUUAAAAAUAAACAAACAAAAAUUAUGCACAUUCUGCAGGAGAGGCCAGCGAUUUGUAUUUUCUCACCUCAAACUUAUGUAGAGAAACUUUAUUUGCCUUCGCGUUAAGUUAAAUCUGUAACAGUCUUUUGUAAAUAGGACAUUUUUUCAACUUUUCAGCGGUGGAUCAAUGAAGAUACAUCGUAUUUUAUUUUGAGUGAUUAGAAAUAGGGAAUAGCUUCACACACAUUAUUAAAAUACACUUCAUGUCACUAAAUGGGACCAACACUAUAUCAUUUCUAUGUACAGAUAUGAUUGUGCGAUAUAUUAUUCACACAUGAUCUUAAAUUACAUCUGUUGACUGGAUUAUAUUAACGAUUAGAUCACUUAAUCUGGUAUAAAUAUACAUUUUCAGUAUUAUGUAGAUAUGUUGAUCUGCAGUUGAUUAUAACAGGCUACUGCCGUGGGGACGCUUAUUAUCUCAUGCAUGUGACAACAAACACGAUGAUGAACAUCUGAGGAGUGAGCCAGUGGCUGCAGGAGCGCGCAGAAUGGCAAACAAUCUUAAGGUGUGCCACCGGACUAAUGGUGAAAUCAGGAGUUGGUGCGCGCUGCAGGAGUUUGUUGGACUGAGCGCGCAGGAGGAGCGCGCAGUGUGCGAGCGACGGGGGGAAGAAGGAACGCGGCACCCGAGCACAUCACCGGCGGUGGGACCAGAACAUUUCCGUUUGCAUUUAAGUCAUCGGGGCUGACGCGCUUUUGGAGGAAGAUGAAGUCAGAGAGCAUCAGAAAUCACACGCUGGAUUAGAGGAGAAGAUUCGAAGACGAGCUCUGGGUGUCACGUCUCAUUUUGGAACGAUGCUCUUCAAAUACUUCAUCACCGGCCGUCUCGGUUUCCCUGCAGACGUUGGCUGACCUCAUCGGGUGACCUCACCAAUCACGGAUCAAAGUUGUCGGGUUUCUGCCCGGUCAGGUUAAUCAGAGGACCACCCCGAAGAACCAAUCAGAUAGAUCGGUUGUCAGAGCCGUGGGCAGGACGGUGUGGCGGAGCGCAGCGUCUGCCUUUUGGCCUUUGCCUUUCGCGUGACACAUUCCUGCCUAACACGUUAGCAUGCAGCCCGCCUAUCAAUCAGCCGCUCGCCCAGUCCGGGCUCCAGCUGCUGCCCCUCGUCUCUCAGAAAGUGAUGAUACACGAGCAACAUUUUAAGGUAAUAAAGCUCAGCGGCUCUGCCAACAGUUAGGCCACGAGGCAUUUGAAGGAUUUUAUAAAAACGAAACAGUGGAAAUGUCAUUUUGAGAAGCAGACGGGUUUCCAGUCCAGAAUGUGUUCCGUCACAUCAUUUGCCACAGUUACUAGAAUAUCAAAUGAUUUUAUGCUUUGUAAUGAGGGUUUCGUUUUUUUAAAUUCAAAAUUUAGUUUGUCCUAAAGGCCAGAUGUCCAUUUCACAUGAAGGAGAUAUAACCGAGUCCUCUUCUACACUCUCAUGCAAAAGUACAAAUGCAUAUUUUCUCAUUUUCUAGACUGACACCUUCCUGAUUAAAUAAAGUUUUAGAAGAAAUACUUUUGAUUUUGAGAGAAUGUAUGUGUGAGUCACUUUAUUGGCCUGUAAAUAAAACAGUUAGAGGUCAAACAUCUACUUUUAGAAGUUUAAAUUCAGGAUAAUGGAAGGAAUAUGGAAGCAGCAUUUUUUGAAGGAGUCCUGUUAAAUGUCCUGCAUAAAAAUAACCUGUAUAAUCCUUCUGUGAUAAAUAAUACACCAGCAUCAAUAAAGAAAUAUAACAAA